rnacentral:misc_RNA from 1 species
UUUCCGUAGGUGAACCUGCGGAAGGAUCAUUGUAGAGUUCCUUUUCAAACGGAUGUGAAGUUGUACCAAUACCCAUCGAGAACUAAGCGUUUUUGCUGUCAGCACUUGCGUUGUUUAGAUGGGUUCCCUUUGCUGCCUUCAUCUUGCUUCAUUUGAAGUGACUCCUGGCAUCUUUUUGAAGUGCCAAGGAUAGUCGUUGUUGGAGUACAUUGCCAUCUUUUUGAUGUCUUUUGUUACUCUACAAGCAAAUAGGUCUGAAUGACUCCUGGCAAUGGAUAUCUUGGCUCUC